UUGACGGCCAUGAUGGAGAGAGUAAGCUUAUUCGACAGUUCAGAGAACCGGUGGGUGGUGCGAACCGGUCUGGAGACGAAGCCGAAGUUCAUUCCGAAGCUGCCAGGUGAACGCCCGCUGAGGUCAGUAGUCUGCGCCGGAAGCAUUCCGAUGCUUCCGUUAUCAAAUUCGAGUGAAAGGCAAUUUCGCCUUUUAUGAGGGUGGUACCGCGAGUUUGUCUCGUCCCUUUU
rnacentral:ncRNA from 1 species